UACGAGAGGCCCAAACGUUAUUCGGAUUUACUGGGCUUAAAGAGUUCGUAGGCGGUGCAGAAAGUGGGGUGUGAAGGCCCUCGGCUCAACCGAGGAAUUGCGCUCCAAACUACUGUGCUAGAGGAAGCUAGAGGUGAGCAGAACAGAUGGUGGAGCGGUGAAAUGCGUUGAUAUCAUCUGGAAUACCGGAGGCGAAGGCGGCUCACUGGGGCUUUUCUGACGCUGAGGAACGAAAGCCAGGGUAGCGAACGGG
rnacentral:rRNA from 1 species